ACACCGUGUAAUAACGUAGUUAGCUAAGUUGAUAUCUUAGAAGAUUAACGGUAUG
rnacentral:tRNA from 1 species